rnacentral:rRNA from 1 species
CGGGUGAGUAACACGUGGAUAACCUACCUAUAAGACUGGGAUAACUUCGGGAAACCGGAGCUAAUACCGGAUAAUAUAUUGAACCGCAUGGUUCAAUAGUGAAAGACGGUUUUGCUGUCACUUAUAGAUGGAUCCGCGCCGCAUUAGCUAGUUGGUAAGGUAACGGCUUACCAAGGCAACGAUGCGUAGCCGACCUGAGAGGGUGAUCGGCCACACUGAACUGAGACACGGUCCAG